GUUCAAAAGGAGAAAACUCAAAGAAGACAACUCAGAGCACUCAGCAGAGUAACUGGAUUCAGACAGGGGUGGCAACAUCCCCUUCAGCUCUCAUCUCUGCCUGCUGCCUGCGUGGGAUCUGAUGGGCAAGAGAAACAAAUUCAAAAAGCCUGCAAGGAGCCCAGUGGGGAAUGAUGAGGAAUUGAAGGAAGAACACUAGGAUGCAGGAGAAAUAACUGGAUGAGAGGUUCAUAAAGUGGAAAGGGAGGAGGAAGCAAGAUGAGACGAAAAAGAUUUACUUCAUCAAGUGCAACCAUAUGUCUUGGUGACCUUUCAACCUCUGCUGAGAUGUACAGCAUGGGGGUUCAGAGAGUCUGUGGUAUGCAGGCAGCAUCUUAGAGGCCAGUGGCUUUCUUUUUACACUGUGCAAAUACUGCCGCAGCACACUUAUGAUUGUGCUUCUUUCUGUUGUAUCCAUGUGACAC